AAGGAAUGGACGUAAAGGUGUAAAGGUGAGGAAUGGGGGUGCGCGUAGGAGAGAAAAAGUUUUAUUUUUGUUUAUUUUUGGAUCAGAAGACCCAAGGCCCUUUUCACUUCUCAGAUCUGGAAAACCCUAGGGGUUCUCACAUCCUAACUCAUUUCCAAUGCACCCAGAGGCUCGAGUUCCUCUACUUGAACGAGAAAACCUAGAGGCAAUCACCACCCAUUCUGCCUCAGUCUUCGUUCAAACGGUCGGCCACCGUUAGACGCGACCCCGGCUCAAUCCAAAGCGACACCGGCGACCAGGCGCCAUCGGAGCCGCCGUCGAAUCUUUCUCUUCCUCUUCGUGCGCGGGAAGUUCUCUCCUUCUUCUCUGUUUCUUCGCGCGCGUACGGCUGUCUCCGCCAAACCGGCCACUGUUAGACGCGACCCAGGGCGUUGCCAGCACCGCCGCUCGCCGUCAAGAUCGUCGCCGGCCCUGGAAUCUGGUUCCUCUCUUCCUCUUCUUCUCGCGCUCAAGAGAGACCGUCUUCUCUUUCGUGAAUCGCCUCUUGGGCGAGCUCGACCACCGUGUUGGCCAGGGCUCCGCUAGCGUCACCGGUCGUCGCCAGAGAUGCCUCCGGUCACCAUGUCAACGUUCUCUUUCCUUCUCUGCUAGUAAGCAGAGGAACCCUUUUCUCCUCCUUCGAACUCAAGACCAACGAGGCCGGACGUCGCCGCAGCUGCCUACAAAGCCAGCCGCCGCACAAGAAUUCUCUUCCCCUCCUCACACCGUAGUCGCCACCACCAGAGGCGGAAACUGCCGCCACCGAGGCUGCCGCGAUGGGCUCUCCAAUUUCUCUUUCAAGGGUUCUUUCCUCUCCAGCAUCACCACCGGACUGACGCAUCCUUCCCUCUUUUUUCUCAUUUUUUAUUUACUCAUUUAUUGAUUAAUGGAUUGGGAACGAUGGAUGUCUGUUGUGUUCGACUGAGUAUGAGUGCGAGUGUGAGUAGCGGUGGCCAUUUUUGGAAUUAAUCUGAUGGAUGUUUAUAGCAUAGAAACAUUGAGGGAGUGGGCUAAACAGAUAAGUUGUGUUACUGGCUAAGGAUGACAGAAAUUUUUACGCUUGGUGUUGAAGUCAAUGAACUUGAGGAUGUUGAACUAAGGAUGUAGUCUGAAGUGUCAAUUUGCCAUCGUUGUUUGAAUGUGUUGUAUUUCCGUUUGCUUUUUAUCACAUGUUUUCUGGGUGCUAAAGGGUAUUGAAGCUUUGAUGUUGGGGAGUAUAUGCUUAUUUUCUAUUGUUAACAAAAUAGAUGAAGUUUACAGGCACUGAAACUGCAUUUUGGGUGCAGUUUGGGUGUAGUUUGGAUUAACAGGGGAAGGUAAACAAACGCAAAUCAUCGAUCAUUCGUCUCUCAACAUGCAUAGGGAAAGCAUAUCUACGAGAAGCAUGACCAAAGAGCUUAGGUAUAUGAAGACUUACCUUCGCAGCUUCAAGGUGCCUUUCUUCUUGGGUUCUAAUUCCCUUUGUUCUCCUUAAUGCCGGAAAGUAAAGUUGACUGGGCAGCUAGGUUCACACAAUAGUCGGUUCUCCUCUUUCGGUUCUCCUCUUUUCUCUUUGGUCUCAGGUCUCUUGCUCUCUCGUGUUGGCUCAUGCUCGUUCAAAACUUUUUCCUCUUCCAUGUAUGUCUACUGCUACUGCUGCCGUUUAAGAAUUUUUAGCAAGGAAAACCAAUAACUUUUUCAUGCUGCCACCCUAUAAACACAUUCUAAGCAUUCACUGCAACUGAUGGCUUCAUGAGGAGGGAACAGAGUUGACUUGUGAUUUUACUUUUCCUUUUCUUUCACUUCCCUUUUUUUUUAUAUAAAAAGGUAAUCUUUUAUUGAAUUAAAAAAAAUAGAAAAAAUAAAACAAAUAAAAGAAAAAACGAC
rnacentral:sRNA from 1 species